UCUCUAAGGCUUGCCAUCUUAUCCCCCUCAGAAAACUCCCCUCUGCUCUCCAAACGGCCCAGCUCCUGGUUAGACAGGUUAGACAUGUGUUCCGCCUGCAUGGGAUCCCACAGGAGAUUCUGUCUGACCGUGGUCCUCAUUUCAUCUCGCGGGUGUGGAAGGAGUUAGCCGUGGCCCUGGGGCCCGGUAUACUCUAACCUCCGGUUACCACCCGCAGACCAACAGUCAGACAGAGCGGAAGAACCAGGAGCUGGAGACCGCCCUCCGUUGUCUCACCUCCAAUAAUCCCUCUGACUGGAAUAAAUACCUCCCAUGGAUCGAAUACGCCCACAACAGCCACGUUUCUACAGCCACCGGACUAAACCCCUUUGAGAUCUCCCUAGGAUACCAGCCCCCGUUACUUCCAGAUGACAACCGACUGAUCGCCGUCCCCUCCGUACAAGAACACAUCAAGCUGUAGGGACUUCUGGACCCAAACCAUCCAAGCCCUCAACCACACCACCGAACAGAACCGCCGAUUCGCUGACCGGAGGCGGGUCCCAGCCCCCAGUUACCACCCCGGUCAGCGAGCCUGGCUUUCCACCAGAGACCUUCCCUCCCGAGCCGCCUCCCGCAAGCUGUCCCCUCGCUUCACUGGUCCCUACGAGAUUGUCUCCAUCGUCAGCCCCACCUCUGUCCGUCUUCGUCUCCCGUCUCACUCCCGCGUCCAUCCUACUUUCCACGUGUCCCAAAUCAAGCCAGUUACCUCCAGUCCCCUGUGCCCUCCGGCCGAACCCCCUCCACCCACCCAGGACCACCACGGACGCCAGAUCCAACGGAUCGUGGCCUCCCAUCCACGAGGUAGAGGUUUCCAAUACCUCGCGGACUGGGUUGGUCGUGGUCCUGAGGACAGAUCCUGGCUCCCCGGCUCCUCCAUCCCUGACCGUUCCCUCAUUGACUCCUUUCUCUCCUCCCUUCCCUCCUCUUCCUCUUCUGGGUCGCCAGGAGGCGACCCUUGAGGGAGGGGUGGUGUCAGGACUCAGCCAGCAGGGCCGUGCAGCUUGCUGCCGGUUCUGAUGCCUCUGCUCUCUCCACAGGUGUUCGGGGUUAACUGGUGGGCGGAGCGCACACACCUGCAGACAGUUCAGCAGCACCGGGCCACACUAUAAGAACUGUGCUCGAACAGAGGGUGGAUGCCAGAGUGUUGCCAUUGUGGUACCUCUUGUGCUCCUGUGUUCCCCUUCGUGGUGGAUGCCUCAAGUAUCCCUCUGGUUCCUUCCGAGUCGGUUCCCCUCCACCCAGAUCCAAGACCACCUCUGACGUUCACCUGGUUCCACCCGCUGCUCUGGAUCCCUGGAUUCCCCAGUGCUGCUCGGACCCACAUCUGCCUCCGCUCACUGUUCUCCCGGACGCCUGCCAACUCCACCCGCAGGCAGGGCUGAGUCCACACCGCUUCCUCCCCGGUUUGGUUCCCGUGCUUUGUGACUGACCCGAUCUCCAGGCCUUGGUUCCCCGUUGUGCCCCAAUUUGCGGUGACAGAUCUUCCUCGUGGCUCCGCCCCGUGGCUCUAUUAUAAUAAAACCCUUGAGAUCUGAA